rnacentral:miRNA from 1 species
AUGUGUCAAAAUGUGAGGCUGUCA